rnacentral:rRNA from 1 species
AUGGCUUCUCUUGCUAUGCUGACCAGCUGGACCAUUUGGUGCGAGAGAAAUGCACGGGUGUUUCGUCACAAAUCCACGCUUCCGUCUGUAUUGUUCUCCAACAUUAAGAGCGACGCCAACCUUUGGGUAAUUGCGGGUGCUAAGCACUUGGGUCAAAUCAUGCCGGGAGAGUAG